rnacentral:rRNA from 1 species
AACGAACGCUGGCAGCAUGCCUAACACAUGCAAGUCGAACGAGACCUUCGGGUCUAGUGGCGCACGGGUGCGUAACGCGUGGGAACCUGCCCUUAGGUUCUGAAUAACUCCCCGAAAUGGGUGCUAAUACCGGAUAAUGUCUUCGGACCAAAGAUUUAUCGCCUUUGGAUGGGGCCGCGUUGGAUUAGCUAGUUGGUAGGGUAAAAGCCUACCAAGGCGACGAUCCAUAGCUGGUCUGAGAGGAUGAUCAGCCACACUGGGACUGAGACACGGCCCAGACUCCUACGGGAGGCAGCAGUGGGGAAUAUUGGACAAUGGGAGAAAGCCUGAUCCAGCAAUGCCGCGUGAGUGAUGAAGGCCUGAGGGUUGUAAAGCUCUUUUACCCGGGAUGAUAAUGACAGUACCGGGAGAAUAAGCUCCGGCUAACUCCGUG